rnacentral:misc_RNA from 1 species
GACAAAUAUAAGGCAAUAUUCAAUACUUCCACAAAGACUAGCAGAAAUGGUCAUUGAAAAGAAGCAAAAAAAUUAAAGUCUAAAAUCCAGUGUCAAACUUAAAAUAUCAUCAAUUUAGAUUUCAGAGCUGGUAAGAUAUUUCUGAAUAAGCAAAAUACCAUGAAUAUCCCAAAUCCAAUCUAUCUUGAGAAUCCAGAAAGAACAUUAAAAUUUUACAGCUUCAAAUGAAUAUAGAAACAACUGGACCACUUACUU